UGAAAUGCUGGCAACCAUGUGAACCAAGCAUAGUACAAAAGGAUAAAGGCUUUUGUCACUUGCACCACAGAGUCAAGAUGGUGUCACCUAACAGAAUCAUCCAGCUCAAUUAGAUGUCCCUGUGAGUGUACCUAUGUCACUGUGACUGUACCUGUGAUUGGUCUCAAAGACUUCAAAGGAGAUAUUAGUGUCAAGCCAGCUACUGAUUUUACUACUUCAUCAGGAAUUUUGUUCCCAAAUUGAGUUAGACAUCCUUUAAAUGCUACCACAGUUUUGUAUUAUCAGAAGUUAGUCUCUACUUAUAUAAGUAUUGAAUCAGUAUUGAAUCUAAUAUUUAGUAUAUUAGUUUCCCAGUUUUUCUACCUGCUAAAUGGAAAAAAAUACUAAGCUAAGACAUUUCAAACUGAAAACGGUGCAAUAAUGUCUGUAAGACCUGGUUAAGACACAUAAUAGAAUUUGUAAUUUCAAAUAUAUUUAUUAAGACAUGAGCUGAAACUAAUGGAACUAAGAAUAAAUAGCAGGACUGGGCAAAACUUUCAAGUAAACCUUUAUAUACAUAAAAACCAGAAAGAUUGAGAAUGCAAGCAUGUUAUGAAUAAGUAUAGUAUGGAAUUUUAUGUCUGUAUAUAUAUGUGUGUGUGUGUGUUACAUGUAUAUGUAUCUGUAUAUAUAUACACACAUACACACACUAUCAAAUACUAAAAAUGGAUUCUUUGAAAAAUAGAACCCUG
rnacentral:lncRNA from 1 species